CUCUCGCGCGAGCGAUUUUAGUCUGAGGCGAAGCUUCGGAGCGGCCGGUACUGUUGAGAGCGACAAGUGGAGGCGCCGCUCUAGCGGCCGGGACUCUGAACUAUGGCGGCUAGUGAUACAGAACGAGAUGGACUAGCCCCAGAAAAGACAUCACCAGAUAGAGAUAAGAAAAAAGAGCAGUCAGAUGUAUCUGUUUCUCCUAGAGCUUCAAAACAUCAUUAUUCAAGAUCACGAUCAAGGUCAAGAGAAAGAAAACGAAAGUCAGAUAAUGAAGGAAGAAAACACAGGAGCCGGAGCAGAAGCAAAGAGCGUGCUUAUGCGCGAAGAGACUGAACUGAAGACGCUGCAGACUCAGAUAGCAAAAUAAUAAGCCUACUUCAUGAUAAGGUAACUAUUAGUCAUUCAAACUCCUAUUUCCCUUAAAUAUAUCUUAAAUCAGUUAAGGGUUUUAAUGUUUUUUUUUUAAAUUAAUAGUAAUGUUAUGUUUGAAAAACUGGUUUGAAAUAAACUUUAAAACCUUUAGAAGUUUAACCACUUAAGACUUUUCCAGUCUGCCUCGUUAUAGCAAAACCAAGGAAAAUUUCUUUUCUAAGCUCCUAUAGAGAACUGGCAAUGAAACUAAAAUUUAAUUGUGUCUCCAGGUCUCUUAUUUUUCUGCAAAUAAUAAAUUAUGUACUAUGAUCAUUUUCAGAGAUAUCAUCAUGCAUGUUCCAAAAUGAUUGGCCAAGUUUUAUUUUUAAGAAACAUUAAUCGUGAGUGGAAAGAAACAUGCUAUGGCCUUUUGGGGGACAGUAGUGUCUUAUUACAGUGGAAAAGUGGUAGCGUGGGCAUCAGAAAAACAUGGGGAAGGUUCAGCUCACCCAUGUAGCUUUGUAACUUUAGAUCUUAGUUAUACAUAAAACAAGGGGAUUAAGUUAGAGGAUCUGAGUUUCCUUCCAGAAUUAAAAUUUAGUGAUUCAGAGAUGUCUAGGAUUUUAAACUUU
rnacentral:sRNA from 1 species